rnacentral:rRNA from 1 species
GACGAACGCUGGCGGCGUGCCUAAUACAUGCAAGUAGAACGCUGAAGAGAGGAGCUUGCUCUUCUUGGAUGAGUUGCGAACGGGUGAGUAACGCGUAGGUAACCUGCCUUGUAGCGGGGGAUAACUAUUGGAAACGAUAGCUAAUACCGCAUAACAAUGGAUGACACAUGUCAUUUAUUUGAAAGGGGCAAUUGCUCCACUACAAGAUGGACCUGCGUUGUAUUAGCUAGUAGGUGAGGUAACGGCUCACCUAGGCGACGAUACAUAGCCGACCUGAGAGGGUGAGCGGCCACACUGGGACUGAGACACGGCCCAGACUCCUACGGGAGGCAGCAGUAGGGAAUCUUCGGCAAUGGGGGCAACCCUGACCGAGCAACGCCGCGUGAGUGAAGAAGGUUUUCGGAUCGGAAAGCUCUGUUGUAAGUCAAGAACGAGUGUGAGAGUGGAAAGUUCACACUGUGACGGUAGCUUACCAGAAAGGGACGGCUAACUACGUG